AACGAACGCUGGCGGCAUGCCUAACACAUGCAAGUCGAACGAGACCUUCGGGUCUAGUGGCGCACGGGUGCGUAACGCGUGGGAACCUGCCCUUAGGUUCGGAAUAACUCCCCGAAAGGGGUGCUAAUACCGGAUAAUGUCUUCGGACCAAAGAUUUAUCGCCUUUGGAUGGGCCCGCGUUGGAUUAGCUAGUUGGUAGGGUAAAAGCCUACCAAGGCGACGAUCCAUAGCUGGUCUGAGAGGAUGAUCAGCCACACUGGGACUGAGACACGGCCCAGACUCCUACGGGAGGCAGCAGUGGGGAAUAUUGGACGAUGGGCGAAAGCCUGAUCCGGCAAUGCCGCGUGAGUGAUGAAGGCCUUAGGGUUGUAAAGCUCUUUUACCCGGGAUGAUAAUGACAGUACCGGGAGAAUAAGCUCCGGCUAACUCCGUG
rnacentral:rRNA from 1 species